AAGUUUUCUUUCUCGUUUCUGUCAAGGAGCUUCUGGAAUCUCAUCUUGAUUGAACAAAGUCACCUUUGAGUCCAUAUUUCAGAUAAUCAGCCAACCUGUUGGGAUCCUUCACAGUUACUUCAUUCUCUGUUCAGCCUAAUGUGCAAAGUGGUGUGGAUGAACCAUGACUUCUGGCUGCACAAUGCAAUGGGCAGUCUGUCCAGCUCCAGAGGCAUUUGAGUAUGUGACUGUGGCUCAAGUGAGUUCUUUUUUGCCCUGGAGACUCAAUGAUUUUAUGUCUGGUGGUUCAUAAGUUACAAGAUAUCUGGAAUUAGGUGGACAAAAAUUUACUGAAACUUUCUGGAGCAAAGGACAACCAGACGUACACCUGGAAGGAUACGUACUUCAGGGCCUCAUGGAACUUAAAUCUACAUGGUGUCUGUAGGAAUUUAGGCCCUGUGCAGCAACUGGGCAGAUGCUCCUCCCUUUAACAGGGCUCUACAGUGUGUCUGGAGCAAUCCUAGCAGUUCUUCUUGCCUUUACCAACUUAAGAGGAUAAAAAGUCAUCUAGGCCUCCCUUUCCCUUCUUUGAUAUUUGAGAUAUUCUCAGAAUGAUAUUUCACUGCCCUUUUGUAGAAUGGCUCACAAAAGCCAAAUAAUACAUUGUGUAAACUACAGCUAUCUCUCAAAGGGUGUUUUUGGAAUUUUUGACUCAGCUUACAUUAGGUCAGGUUACUCAAGAUUAAGAAGGAAUUUGACCAUUUGCAGAAAAUUCAGAGACAUUUGUUAUAAGUAU